rnacentral:tRNA from 1 species
GCCUUCGUGGUAUAGUGGUCAGCACGCUCGACGCGUAUUCGAGAGGUCCGUGGUUCGAUUCCCGGCGAGGGCA